UUUAAAUGGCCGCAGUAUACUAACUGUGCAAAGGUAGCAUAAUAAUUAGUCUUUUAAUUGAAGGCUGGUAUGAAUGGUUGGACGAGAUAUUAACUGUUUCAUGAAAAUUUAUAUUAGAAUUUUAUUUUUUAGUCAAAAAGCUAAAAUUUAUUUAAAAGACGAGAAGACCCUAUAAAUCUUUAUAUUUAAAUUAUUAUAAUUUUAUAGAUUAUUUUUGUUAUAAUAAUUAAUAAUAUUUUAUUGGGGUGAUAUUAAAAUUUAAUAAACUUUUAAUUGUUUAAAUCAUUAAUUUAUGAAUAAUUGAUCCGUUAUUAACGAUUAAAAAACUAAGUUACUUUAGGGAUAACAGCGUAAUUUUUUUGGAGAGUUCAUAUCGAUAAAAAAGAUUGCGACCUCGAUGUUGGAUUAAGAUAUAAUUUUAGGUGUAGCCGCUUAAAUUUUAAGUCUGUUCGACUUUUAA
rnacentral:rRNA from 1 species